AUUCAAGGAUGUGGGGCGAGCGGCCUAGAGCUGCGAAGCAAUUGGAAGUGGUUCCAAGAAAAGCCUCUAAGCUUCAGUCAUACGAGACCGUACCGCAAACCGACACAGGUGGGCGAGAUGAGUAUUCUAAGGCGCUUGAGAGAACUCGGGAGAAGGAACUCGGCAAAUUGGUACCGUAACUUCGGGAUAAGGUACGCCCUGGUAGCUUGACUGGCCUGCGCCAGAAGGGUGAAGGGGUUGCAAUAAAAUGGUGGCUGCGACUGUUUAAUAAAAACACAGCACUCUGCAAACACGAAAGUGGACGUAUAGGGUGUGACGCCUGCCCGGUGCCGGAAGAUUAAAUGAUGGGGUGCAAGCUCUUGAUUGAAGUCCCGGUAAACGGCGGCCGUAACUAUAACGGUCCUAAGGUAGCGAAAUUCCUUGUCGGGUAAGUUCCGACCUGCACGAAUGGCGUAACGAUGGCCACACUGUCUCCUCCCGAGACUCAGCGAAGUUGAAGUGUUUGUGAUGAUGCAAUCUCCCCGCGGCUAGACGGAAAGACCCCAUGAACCUUUACUGUAGCUUUGCAUUGGACUUUGAACCGAUCUGUGUAGGAUAGGUGGGAGGCUUAGAAGCGUGGACGCUAGUUCACGUGGAGCCGUCCUUGAAAUACCACCCUGGUUUGUUUGAGGUUCUAACCUUGGCCCGUGAAUCCGGGUCGGGGACAGUGCAUGGUAGGCAGUUUGACUGGGGCGGUCUCCUCCCAAAGUGUAACGGAGGAGUUCGAAGGUACGCUUGGUACGGUCGGACAUCGUACCUAAAGUGCAAUGGCAAAAGCGUGCUUAACUGCGAGACCGACAAGUCGAGCAGGUGCGAAAGCAGGACAUAGUGAUCCGGUGGUUCUGAAUGGAAGGGCCAUCGCUCAACGGAUAAAAGGUACUCUGGGGAUAACAGGCUGAUACCGCCCAAGAGUUCAUAUCGACGGCGGUGUUUGGCACCUCGAUGUCGGCUCAUCUCAUCCUGGGGCUGUAGCCGGUCCCAAGGGUAUGGCUGUUCGCCAUUUAAAGAGGUACGUGAGCUGGGUUUAAAACGUCGUGAGACAGUUUGGUCCCUAUCUGCCGUGGGCGUUGGAAUCUUGACGGGGGCUGCUCCUAGUACGAGAGGACCGGAGUGGACGUACCGCUGGUGUACCUGUUGUCUCGCCAGAGGCAUCGCAGGGUAGCUAUGUACGGAAGAGAUAACCGCUGAAAGCAUCUAAGCGGGAAACUCGCCUGAAGAUGAGGAUUCCCUGGAGGCUUGACCUCCUUGAAGGGUCGUUCGAGACCAGGACGUUGAUAGGCUGGGUGUGGAAGCGCAGUAAUGCGUUAAGCUAACCAGUACUAAUUGCCCGUAAGGCUUGAUC
rnacentral:rRNA from 1 species